AAAUAACAUAACUUCUUUCCUCUGAAUGGUCGAAGCUGAGCAACUUGGAGGGUUCAGCCGACUCCUACACCAGCCGCCCAUCUCUGGACUCAGACGUCUCCCUGGAGGAGGACCGGGAGAGUGCCCGGCGUGAAGUAGAGAGCCAGGCUCAGCAGCAGCUCGAAAGGGCCAAGCACAAACCUGUGGCAUUUGCGGUGAGGACCAAUGUCAGCUACUGUGGCGUACUGGAUGAGGAGUGCCCAGUCCAGGGCUCUGGAGUCAACUUUGAGGCCAAAGAUUUUCUGCACAUUAAAGAGGUGAUCGACCCCCCUACUUCCAGAAGCCUCUAACACUUCAUUUUCUUGCUGUUGCUCCAGAUCCUAAUGCUUCUGACUUCAAUCCUCAGUCUAAUUCCCCAAGCUAAUCAGCUCUUCUCCUUAACACACACCUGUCCACCCCUCAUAUCUAAGAUCUCAUCCCCAGGGUCUCCAUCCUUCUGA
rnacentral:sRNA from 1 species